CCGAUCAGAAAAGAUCGUCACGGGUCGGAGAGCCGCCGCUUUUCAAUCCCUGUGAAAUGCUUUCAAGUUGCUCGUGGUAUGUGCCCUAUGGGAGACCCGGAUGUGGUACGGUCCCCAAAUCGUCCUGCAGUGAUUGCUUUCCAAGACAGCGGCAGGCGAGAGACAGAAAGAACUACAGUGCCCCGAAGCUGGUUCGGUUCGAAUGAACCGAGGCGGGGUGACUGUGCCUUCGGACAUGCGUAUGACGUGCUGUCUCGGAAAGAUUCUUUUUCCUCGAAAUGUCCCUCCGUGGUGAGUCCGAGAUCGAGCGGUCUAGAAAGACUGUCGACGGGACAGAUGCAUUUACGUUCCAAUGCUUUUUGCGUGUGUGAGGUCGCGCCCAGCUGCGUGGGCGACGUAGCCACCAGUGAACUGGUGAUGACUGCAUUUGUGGUGUGCACGAAAAUUUUCCAUGCCCAAGAUUCCGCCGGAGCCUGCUGUGCAGCGCUUUGUCGGAAGAAAGAUCGGAAGUGCCAGGGUGUCCAGUGGACCUUCGGUGGCAUGUGCGCUCCUGGCUGCAAGCAAUGUGUCUUGCACGGCUGUGCCACGUGAAAUACACCGGCCGAUUUUCACCGGUGGGCAGAGUUGCUUUGCGAUAGCAUCGACCUGUUGUGUUCAGAAUGAGGCAGGCUGCAGAAUGUGUGUCGUUUUGUCAUCUGAAGAGGUCUCCACUGCUCUGGACAGAUUCUUUUCCGUGUUUCGUUCCCCGGAGUAGCGAUCCCUUUGAAUCUGUGGAGCUGCCCCAAGAUAGCAUCGACACCGGAUGCUACGGAGAGCUGUUCGCGGCCUGCUCGAACCCUGGGUAAAGAUGUCCAGUGCGAUCUCUGCCGACAGGUGUGCGCCGCAGUCCUGUUUCAGUUACCAGCAAGGUAGCCUUACUGCUCAGGUGUCCCAGCGAAUGCUCCUGUACUGAAGAAGAGUAGCAUGAAAAGAUCGAAAGGCGUGCGGCCGCGAACGUUCCAGCAGUCCGACAGGAAGGUGGAUUUGAUGCACGGUUUCGCAGCCGUCAAAUCCCCGCGUGUAUGCAUUUGCGUUGGGAACACAAGCUGGUACAUAAGACAUGUGCAGUACUUGGUAACCCGUCUUGACUGGCGGGGUAAGCAUCACUGGGGAGAUAGUAAGCGUCAUUCGUGGACGUUGAUCGUCCUGAAAGACUUCGCCGACGCGUUAUGAAUGGCCAAGGCGAGGAAAGACACACCCUGUGCAGGAAGUUUCGGGUUUUCGCCUCAGGCGGCCUUUGGCCGUGCUACUCAUGUUGCGUGAACAGCGGUUAACUCUCCUUGCGAUGACAGGCUUCUCUUAGGGAAGACGAACUGUGUAGAAGCGACAUCCUGGGCACAUGGAGCUACCGCAUUAUGUUUCGAUAUUGGAAAAUGUGGAAUUGUGCGAGGAUCUGGAGUCACAGUACAGUGUCUUGCAGUGCUUUCGGCAGCAAGGCCCCGGUGUUUAGGCGAUGCUUUGUGGAGCUCUGUGUCUGUCGCACCAAGCAACGGGCAUGGCAGGCUGCAUGUCGCUCAACGGUCCUUGGAAAAUGGAUGCACUGCUUAGUCAAAGUCGUUCCUGUCGACACUGGACAUACCGUACUGCAUGUGGCGUGGGGAAAUACUGCCAUAUCAUCACGGG
rnacentral:lncRNA from 1 species